UUAUAGUUCCCUCACUUUUUUUGACGAAAUUUUAAACGCUACUUUCUACAAGAAAAUUCGCAUCAAUUUCAAACAGUCUUAUCUUCCUCAAACAAAGAAACCCAUCUACUUCCCCUUAAAAAAAAAGAAACCCAUCUACUCAGGUAACUGACAUCGAAUCACAAACUGAAAAAACCCUAUCAAUUUUGCCAACAAAUUUCAAUCUCCCAAAUCGUCUCCUAUGAACUGAAAGGAGGAACUGAAUUCACUAAUUGUGAUUAUAUACUAAGAGUAAGAGGGAGAAUUCACGAGAUUUGCUUCAAUAUUAUUCCAAAUUUCUUCCUGAAUUCAUGUAUAUAUGCAAAAUUCAGGUCUUCAACGCAGCAAGUCGGCCAAAUUAAUCAAGAAAACCUGAGCACAGAGGCGAAACUCAAGAAAAACAAGCAAAGAGGAGAAAUUUCGAAUACCAGUAGAACUUCAAAGGUGCAUUCCUUUAUUUCGAAAUUCUGGAAAUUCUUCGAAAUUCACGAAACCCAGUCGAGCUCCAAAAUCAAGUCCAUGGUAAUAGGAUAUAAAUAUAGAGUGUAAAUUAUUCAAGAAAAGACAACAAAGAGUCGAAAUUCAAGAAAACCCAACAAAGAGGGGAAAUUUCGGAUCAUAGUCGAGCUUAAUAAGGUAUGCUCUUCAUCAAUCCAUUGUUAUUGGAGUUUUAUGUUUUAGGAAAAAUUAUUUUAGCCGUGAAAUAAAGUAAGUUUUGUUACCUUGUACUACUAAUUAUUGAUACCUUGCAUGAUAUGAGUUUGUUCCACCUCCUGCAUUAACAUUUCGGAUCAUAGUCGAGCUUUAUAAGGUAUGUUCUUCAAUCCAUUUUUUUUGCUAUGUGAAGUUUGAGAGAAAGGUUUUCUAUGAACUGUAUCAACAAGUUUAAUUACAUUUUGUGAUUCAGCUUGUGAUAGAUGCUUUUCCGAGGCAGCAAACCUCUGAUUUGAUUCAAGUUGUCUGAUGUGUUGUGCCUUUGUGCCCAUCUCGAAAAUUAAUUAUAUUGUCAUGUAUAUUGAAAAUUACUUAUGAUGAGUGAUGACAUUUAAGGGCUGAUAUGAAAGUUAUGGUUUUGCUUGUUGAUGUAAACUUGGUAUGUUUAGAACCAAAUUAAAAAGAUUGUAGAGGUUCUACUGGUGUGAGAUGAAGUAUGGCUGGUGUUGGUCGGUUGCACUUGUGGUGGGGGGUGAAUUUAUAGUGGUUCUAAUGGCGGGGAUAGAGUAUGGUGAUUGCUUUAAGAUUGAGGUGUGAAAAUCUUAAGAUGGGAAGAUCAAGUACAGGGAACUAAGGGAAAUCAUGAAGAUAUUGUUUGGGGUAAAACCUAGAGAGGACAGAGAACUAGGGAAAUGGAGUGAACAAAAAAGUAGGAACCAAAUACUCACAGAGGUAAUUAAGGAACUAAUAAGUGAUUUUUCAGAAGCUAUGUUUGACAGCAAUACCUACAACUCAGAAUGCAACAUAAGUCCAGCUAACAUCACAAAGGAUUAGGACUACACUGAUUGCGAGAGGCAAUAACAUAACAUACUAAGAGAUUUGAUGAAGUAUCAGAUAUUAAUGAGAAAUAAUCACAAAGAUGAUGCGAUCUACUAAUAAAAAAGUCUGGGUUAAAUUGCUUGAUUGGGAACAAAUAAAAUCAUUUAACAACAGCAUUGAUCAUACUUAAACCACACAUUAUCCAAAAUAUAUUUGUACUACUAAAUGUGUCUCCAUGUACCACCAUCAUUUUUAGUGUUUUCAACUGUUUCUCUUAUAUUUUUAUAGUAGUACAUGGCAACCAUCAUUAUAUGCCUUUGAUAAAGAGUUGCAAGUGUGGCCAACACGACAUUUUCAGUGCUGUCAGGUGCAUGAAACGAUUCUCCUCAUGCUAACAACAAGCAUGAGAUAAUAAACAAGAAAUGUAUCAUGAGAUAAUAUUCAAGAGGCAGAUUCAUACUAGUACAAGCUAUGAAAUUAUGGUAAAUUUUAGAAUGAGUACAAUACAUCCUAAUGUCCCCCAAUCUAUGUAAACACAUUAACUAUGUAAAUAUAAAUUGAUUAUUGGGAUAAUUGCUCACCCUACGCCAUUCAUACACAUUCUUUUUACAUUAUUUUCUACAGGGAAUCUAAAUCAUGUCUCAUCAUCAUCUCAUCUUAUGUCCCCCAAUUUAAUUUGUGGAGCUUAUUUGUCAAGUUGCCAUCUCCUGUGGUCUUGGAAAGCACAGUUUUGUAUUCUAAAGUCUGAUUUGCAACAGUUGCAAACAACCUGUGGUGAAUAUAUAUAGACCACCUAUUUGAUGUUUGAGUAAAAUCCUUUACUAGGCCACGAACUUAGCUAUCUAAAUCUGCAACCCUUAUUCUGAGUUUUUUUUUUUCCAUAGAUUUCUUUGCAGACUAUAAGUAAUACUUGUUAUCUUGAACUGGCUGAGAAUAAUUUAUAUUAUCUAAAUUUAUAUAACUUAGUUUUAGUAAACUUGUUAGUAAAAGUAUUAGAGGCAGUUUACUAACUCAGUGGAUUUGUCAAUGACAUGAAGGUUCAGGAUUAUUUCAUUGUUCCAUGUGCUUAGGCUAAACUCUUCCUUAAAUGAAGUUCUAAUAAGUUUAAAGUUGUAACUAGACAAUCUAGUUACAACUUUCAACUUAUUAAAACUUUCUAUUAUCAUGCUUGCGUACUCUAUAAUUUGUCAAGCCUGACGAGGACUUAGUGAUUUAAAUUGCAUUUGUGUCUAAUCUUGUGCCUUGAUCAGCUUUGAUAAACAAAAAGAAAUAAAAAGAGUCCUAUACAUGAGUAGUGAGUUUUCAUUAACAUUUUCGUGUCAAGUGUCAGGGGUCUCCAUGGUCCUUUUUUGUUCCUUAAGUAAUCCCUUUUAUAAUACGUACGGAAACAAAUCAAAGGAGUCACUAUACAUGACUAGCCUUUUUUUGUGUUGUUGAUGGUGUACGUUUACUAACUAUUACAAUGUUUUAAUUUUUUGGUGAAUAAUGAACCAUCUGGAGGAGAUCAAACGUAGACGUCUCACUAUACAUACUAUCGGCCAGAUUUAGCUAGCUAUAGUAUAUGAUGCGGUACUCGGUGCUUAGAAGGAAGAUCAUCUAUAUGUACUUAUUAGAAGUAUUUGUGGUACUAAAACAAAUAUUUAUUAGUUGGGUUUGAUUAAGUACAUUAAUUUUCGUUAAUUAGGAUUUGUUAUGUAUACUCUUAAUUUAAUUAGUUUUGGAAAUUAUAAUACAGAUAUGACAAUUAUUUUUGGCA